rnacentral:ncRNA from 1 species
CAGAAUAAUGAAAAACAACGUCGUAUAAUGUCGGGAAUAUGGCCCGAAAGUUUCUACCAAGCUACCGGAAAUAGCUUGACUACGAGGUUAUAUAGUAAUAGG